AGCCAAGCUUGCUUGGUGGAUCAGUGGCGAACGGGUGAKUAACACGUGAGCAACCUGCCCUGGACUCUGGGAUAAGCGCUGGAAACGGCGUCUAAUACUGGAUAUGAGACGUGAUCGCAUGGUCGUGUUUGGAAAGAUUUUUCGGUCUGGGAUGGGCUCGCGGCCUAUCAGCUUGUUGGUGAGGUAAUGGCUCACCAAGGCGUCGACGGGUAGCCGGCCUGAGAGGGUGACCGGCCACACUGGGACUGAGACACGGCCCAGACUCCUACGGGAGGCAGCAGUGGGGAAUAUUGCACAAUGGGCGGAAGCCUGAUGCAGCAACGCCGCGUGAGGGAUGACGGCCUUCGGGUUGUAAACCUCUUUUAGCAGGGAAGAAGCGAAAGUGACGGUACCUGCAGAAAAAGCGCCGGCUAACUACGUGCCAGCAGCCGCGGUAAUACGUAGGGCGCAAGCGUUAUCCGGAAUUAUUGGGCGUAAAGAGCUCGUAGGCGGUUUGUCGCGUCUGCUGUGAAAUCCCGAGGCUCAACCUCGGGCCUGCAGUGGGUACGGGCAGACUAGAGUGCGGUAGGGGAGAUUGGAAUUCCUGGUGUAGCGGUGGAAUGCGCAGAUAUCAGGAGGAACACCGAUGGCGAAGGCAGAUCUCUGGGCCGUAACUGACGCUGAGGAGCGAAAGGGUGGGGAGCAAACAGGCUUAGAUACCCUGGUAGUCCACCCCGUAAACGUUGGGAACUAGUUGUGGGGACCAUUCCACGGUUUCCGUGACGCAGCUAACGCAUUAAGUUCCCCGCCUGGGGAGUACGGCCGCAAGGCUAAAACUCAAAGGAAUUGACGGGGACCCGCACAAGCGGCGGAGCAUGCGGAUUAAUUUCGAU
rnacentral:rRNA from 1 species